ensembl:lncRNA
CUCAAGUGGUGGUCAGAAAUAGCAAAUGCAGCAGAUGAAAGGUGAAAAGAGGUAGUAUUGUGACUCCUUGUAUUUUGAGCACAUGAGGAAGAAGUGGGUGAGAAUCCCCAACUGUAAAACCUCCUCCUUUCCCAAAGGUUUGAUUGGUCAAUGAAGAAAGCUCUGAAAUCCAGAUGAAAUGGGACAAAAGGCUUCUGUGUUUUACCCAGACUGUAGAAAUGGUUGAGCUGUACAAACAGGAAGACAUUAGCCUGUGUCUGAGGAUGAAUUUGAAAAUAAUUACUUCUGCCAUAAAUCUUGCAGUCCAUAUGGAUAACAUACAAUACUGGCACUGAUAUCUACAGGUCCAUCUGCACAGAGCCUCAUUUUACUGCAUAAGCUUUCAGAUCCUUACAGACAGACAUUCAGAUAUAAUUCCAGGAUCUUUUCCACCAUUGGAAUUAUCACAUUUGAUUUCUUAAUGUGUCUCCUACAAUGCUACUGACAGAAACUGGUGAAGGACUCUACUGAAUCAAAAAA